rnacentral:rRNA from 1 species
AUGGAUGCCCCGAAGUGGGUGUUUGAGGAAUUGGAUAAAUGGAUGAGAGCUUUUUUUUGGACAGCGGAAGAGAAAGUAAAUGGAGGGAAGUGUCCAGUGGCUUGGGAUACUAUUUGCAGGCCGGUUUUCUUCGGAGGGUUUGGUGUCAAAAACCUUCAGUUACAAGCUUUGGCACUCCGUGUUAGAUGGGAGUGGCUUCGGAGAACCGACCCCGGCAGGCCAUGGCAGAAUUUGCAUAUGAUAGUGGAUAAGGAGGAAAGACAAGUUUUUGACAGUUUGGUCAACAUUGAGGUGGGAGACGGUGCCAAAACCCUUUUUUGGAGAGAUAGAUGGCUGAAUGGUGCGACCAUUGUUGAUAUCGCACCACACAUU